UUGGCCACCCCUGGUUUAGAGUCUCCGUUCAACCUCGGGAACCUCCAAGGCAAGGCUGGGCCAGGAAAGGCUUUUCUUGGCAAGUCGCCACCCGACAGUUAAGAGGGGGGGGGCAAAGGAAGGCCAGGGUCCGCCUAUGCUAUGGACUCGUUUUCCUAAACUGUGGAGACCAAAGGGGAGUGCGUGAAAGAGCUUUGGCAUCCAUGGGCCACAACAACACGCAAGGUUUCAAGAUCUGCAGAACUCUUCAUCAUUAAGCUAGGAGGUUAAACAAAUUCGGGGAUAGCGGAAACAGGAAGUCGGGAAACUAGGCUUAAUGAGGUGGUCCUGAGGUCUGCUCCGAGGCUAAACAGACUUUGCUCUCUCAGCCGCUCCGCAUGCUAAGGAAGUUUCCUUUCUGCUCGCUACACUUCCAACGGGAUCUGCAGCCAAAACCCUACGCCUGGAGUAUAAAUAGGUUUCAUCUGAUGAACUCAUAUCAGUAGGAGUCAUCGGGAUUCUGAUGCUGCACGAACCGCGUAUUUCGUUUGAAAGGAGAUUUCUAGGGAACCUAAUUUCCAUAGAAUUUAUUUCCAACUUUUUGAACUGAGAUGUCAGAUUCGCGUCCCCAACUGAAUCGCUUGGUUAAUUUACAGAUUUGGCACAUAAAUAUCUUUAUUCCUGCCUAACCAGAAGCCGACACUGUUAACAGCCAAAACACAAGAACAAAACACAUAUUCAAACGAGAGCAAGUUAAUAGUCUUUUAAUUUUGUUCACUUUGAAUACGAAAGAAAAUUAAAGGAGUUACGGGAAGAAAAUCUGUAAUUUAACCUGCAAUAUCAGGACAACUAGGAUUUUUUUGUUAAUAUGAUCUCCUAUGAACUCUUAAUUAUAUUUUUGUCCUUGAAAAAAUGCUUAUAAAUCCAAGCACUUUUU